CAUGGUGAAAGUGAAGGCCCAAGAGAAUGGAUUUGGCCAUACUGGGCGCCUGGUCACCAGGACUGCUUUUAACUCUGGCAAAGUGGAUAGUGUUGCCAUCAACAACCCCUUCAUUGACCUCAACUACAUGGUGUACAUGUUCCAGUAUAACUCCACCCAUGGCAAGUUCCAUGGCACCAUCAAGGCUGAGAAUAGGAAGCUUGUCAUCAAGGGAAAUCCCACCACUAUCUUCCAGAAGCAAAAUCCUACCAAAAUCAAAUGGGGCAAUGCUGGGGCUGAUUGCGUGGUGGAAUCCACCGGUGUCUUCACUACCUUAGAGAAGACUGGAACUCACUUAUGGGGAGAGCCAAAGGGUCAUCAUCUCCCCGCUCCCGACAUCCCCACGUUUGUGAUGGGGGUGAACCACGAGAAGUACCAGAACAACCUCAUGAUUGUCAGCAACACCUUCUGCACCACGAACUGCUUAGCCCCCCAGCCAAGGUCAUCCACGACAACCUUGGCAUCGUGGAGGGACUGAUGACCACCUUCCAUGCCAUCACUGCCACCCAGAAGACUGUGGAUGGCCCCUCUGCGAAGCUGUAGCAGGACCCUCCAGAACAUCAUCCCUGCAUACCUGCACUGCCAAGGCUGCGGGCAAGGUCAUCUCUGAGUUGAACAGGAAGCUCACAGGCAUGGCCUUCCGUGUCCCCACCGUCAAUGUGUUGAUCGUGGACCUGACCUGCCGUCUGGAGAUACCCGCCAAAUAUGAUGACAUCAAGAAGGUGGCGGAGCAGGCAUCUGAGGGCCCCCUCAAGGGCAUCCUAGGCUACAGUGAGCUCCACAUUGUUUCCUCCAACUUUAACAGUAACACCCACUCUUCCACCUUUGAUUCUGAGGCUGGCAUAGUCCUCAACAACCACUUUGUCAAGCUUAUCUCUUGGUACAAUGAAUUUGGCUACAGCAACAGGGUGGUGGACCCCCUGGUCCACAUGGUCUCCAAGGACUAACAACCCUUGACCACCAGCCCCAGCAAGAGCAUGAGAGGAAGAGAAGCCCUCAGCUGCUGAGGAGUCCCUGCCAAACUCAGUCCCCAGCCACACCAAGAGUCUCCCUUUCUCACAGUGUCCAUGC